rnacentral:pre_miRNA from 1 species
UUUUCAGUUUCCCUCUCUCAGGCAAUUAUCAAUCCUGAGAGAGAGAAGCUGAAAAGAG